ACACAGAGGGAGGAAGAAGCGGCGGCGGCGACUCCUCUUUGCAGAGGGGGGCAAACUCUGAGGGAAAAGAGCAGGAAUAAUGCGGUAGGAAAGGCGGGCUCCCGGCUCCCGGCUCCGGCUCCGGCAGCAGCGGCGGCAGCCCGAGCAGCGGCAGCAGCAGCAGCGGCAGCACCCCCAGGCGCUGACAGCCCCGCCGGCCGGCUCCCUCGCUGACCGCCGACUGUCAAUGGAGCUGGAAAACAUCGUGGCCAACACGGUCUUGUUGAAAGCCAGGGAAGGGGGCGGAGGAAAGCGCAAAGGGAAAAGCAAGAAGUGGAAGGAAAUCCUGAAGUUCCCUCACAUUAGCCAGUGUGAAGACCUCCGGAGGACCAUAGACAGAGACUACUGCAGCUUAUGUGACAAGCAGCCGAUCGGGAGGCUGCUUUUCCGGCAGUUCUGUGAAGCGAGGCCUGGGCUGGAGUGUUACAUUCAGUUUCUGGACUCAGUGGCAGAAUAUGAAGUUACUCCAGAUGAAAAACUGGGAGAAAAAGGGAAGGAAAUUAUGACCAAGUACCUCACCCCUAAGUCCCCAGUUUUCAUCGCCCAAGUCGGUCGGGACCUGGUCUCCCAGACGGAGGAGAAGCUCCUACAGAGGCCGUGCAAAGAGCUCUUCUCGGCCUGUGCACAGUCUGUCCACGACUACCUGCGGGGAGGGCCCUUCCGUGAGUACCUGGACAGCAUGUAUUUUGAUCGCUUUCUCCAGUGGAAGUGGUUGGAAAGGCAACCGAUAACCAAAAACACCUUCAGGCAGUACCGAGUGCUGGGGAAGGGGGGCUUUGGGGAGGUCUGUGCCUGCCAGGUUCGGGCCACGGGGAAGAUGUACGCCUGCAAGCGCUUGGAGAAGAAGAGGAUCAAGAAGAGGAAAGGGGAGUCCAUGGCCCUCAACGAGAAGCAGAUCCUGGAGAAGGUCAACAGCCCGUUUGUGGUCAACCUGGCCUAUGCCUACGAGACCAAGGACGCGCUGUGCUUGGUCCUGACCAUCAUGAACGGGGGCGACCUGAAGUUCCACAUCUACAACAUGGGGAACCCCGGCUUCGAGGAGGAGCGGGCCCUGUUCUACACGGCGGAGAUCCUGUGCGGCCUGGAAGACCUGCACCUGGAGAACACCGUCUACAGGGAUCUGAAACCCGAGAAUAUCCUGCUAGAUGAUUACGGCCACAUUAGGAUCUCCGACCUGGGCCUGGCUGUGAAGAUCCCCGAGGGAGACCUGAUCCGAGGCCGGGUGGGCACCGUCGGCUACAUGGCUCCCGAAGUCCUGAACAACCAGAGGUACGGCCUGAGCCCCGACUACUGGGGUCUGGGCUGCCUCCUCUACGAGAUGAUCGAGGGCCAGUCGCCGUUCCGGGGCCGCAAGGAGAAGGUGAAGCGGGAGGAGGUGGACCGCCGGGUCCUGGAGACCGAGGAGGUGUACUCCCACAAGUUCUCCGAGGAGGCCAAGUCCAUCUGUAAAAUGCUGCUCACCAAAGACGCGAAGCAGAGGCUGGGCUGUCAGGAGGAGGGGGCCGCGGAGGUCAAGAGGCACCCCUUCUUCAGGAACAUGAACUUCAAGCGCUUGGAAGCCGGGAUGCUGGACCCGCCCUUCAUUCCAGAUCCCCGGGCCGUGUACUGUAAGGACGUGCUGGACAUUGAGCAGUUCUCCACCGUGAAGGGCGUCAACCUGGACCACACGGACGACGACUUUUACUCCAAGUUCUCCACGGGCUCCGUGCCCAUCCCCUGGCAGAACGAGAUGAUAGAAACGGAAUGCUUUAAGGAGCUGAACGUGUUUGGACCUAACGGUACCCUCUCACCAGACCUGGACCGGAGUCACCCUCCGGAGCCACCGAAGAAAGGGCUGUUCCAGAGAAUCUUCAAGCGUCAGCAUCAGAACAACUCCAAGAGUUCGCCCAACUCCAAGGCCAGUUUUAACCACCACAUAAACUCAAACCACGUCAGCUCCAACUCCACCGGAAGCAGCUAGUUGCCGCUUGGCCUUGGAGUCCACGUGGGACAGGCUAGACCCUGUCCUCAGAAGCAGAACUUGUGACCGGCGGAGCGUCCACUCCGGAUGGGUGGACGGGGCAGCCCGCCCGGAGCCGGCGAAGGAAGGAGGCGCCGCCCUCGGCACGGAGCCUCCGGGCUCCUCAGGUGCCACUCAGGUAGAAAACGAUUCACGUUUCACCUCGAGAGGGUCGGUUGCAUCCAUCUCUCUAACCUUCGCGGGGCAUUGCCAUCGCCCGCUGGUCACUUGGAAGAAUCGGAAUUAAAUGCUCAGAGACGCACCUGGGACUGCUCCGCCGGCCAGGACGCCCUGUGCGGGCCCGUGGAGUGGCCUGGGGCCAGCUCCGUGGGAUCCACACGUCUCCUCGUUGCCUCGGCCCCGGCCCCCUCUUCCUCCUGCGAGACGGCCGUGUGCCGCGCCGGCGCCUUCAGCGUCUCCUCUGGGCCCCUUUCUUUCCAAGCAGGUUCUGACUGUAAAGCCACUGUGUCUUCCAGAGGCGCGUGUCUGGGGAUUUUUGUUUUAUUCUAUUUUAAGAGAAGCGUAGCAACGAUAAGGAGUAAUCAUGGAGGCCCCCCCCCCCGUGGCCCAAACUUUUAUGGCCCAAGGGGCACUGGAGUGGGGUCACUGUGUCACCCUGAAUAAGUCUCGAGAGGGGAGGGGCUUGCCAGGGACUCCGGGCACAGUCCUUAAGUCAUAGGGGUCAUAGGGCCUCGAGAGCUGCCCGGGACCCCACAGAUGCGUGGGCCCAGGUGGUACGGACAGCGCGGGCUCUCCAAGCAAAUGGCUGCCCAAGGAGAGGCCGGGCCACCGAAGAAGCUCAAGACCAGCUCACGGUCACCUCCUGGGAGAGGGGCGCAGGGGCCAGCUCUAACCCGGGACCACAAAGUUCCGGGCACAGGUGGCCCCAGGAGGCAGUGCCUGGCCUGGUCCUAGGAAGCCGCUGGCUCCCCUGCCGUCUCCAGAAGGUGACAGGAGCAAAUCCGUCCUCGCCACGCCCUGCACAGGGUGAGGUCUGCAGCUCCCCUGCUCCCCUGCUCCCUGGCUGAGUCCCCGGGGACCCAGUCGGCCUCAGUGGGACCUGGCCCAGCCCAGGCAGCUGCAGGGCUUCUCCUGGUCUGGGCCCUGCACCGGCAUCUCCUGUAAAAUGCAGGUUCCAGGCUCCACCCCAAACCCAGAGAUCUGCAGCGUUCCGAGGCGCUGCCGGUCCCACUGACGCCCCGCGGGUGUGAGAGCCACGCCGUCGGUGGGUCUCGGGUUGUGAUCAUGCAAACAUCGCUCAGGGGGCCCAGGCGGCCUUGGGCGUGAGCGUUAGGGGGGAAGUGGCGAGCAUGUCAGCCAGUCUCCAGGCUCUUUCCCGAAGCCUUUCCCAUGGUCCUGGGGCCGCGGCUCGAGAGGGGCCUGACCUUGGGACGGGCAUUUUGAGGUCAUUUUACAAACAAAUGGGAGAGAAGAAACAAUGGGCUUCCCGCCGACCCCUUCAAUGCACCACAUCGUUUCUUCGAGACCUGGCUUGUCUCAAGAGGCUGCCCCACUUCCCCCCGGGGGCUGAAGACAAGGCAGACGCAGAGAGCUACGUUCAGUUUCGCAGGAAGCGGACACUCUUCGGCCCGUACGUCAAGGCCCCCGAGCUCUUGCUGGCCGUCCUUCUUCAUGACGAGGACAGUCACCAGCCACCACGUUUCAUUUCUUUCCCCCAAUUCUCAGGACCCAGCCCUGAGCACACGGACUGGCGCUGAGAAGGCAGCCUGUUUUCAUACCUGAGCCCACGCACCGUCUGCCUGUCGUGGGGAGUCCUCCAGGGGCGAGGGACACAGAUCUGCGUGGCCAGAGCUCAGACCACGAAGCGCGGGUCCCUGGUGGCUCAGGCAGCGGGAGCCUGUCCCGAGAGCGCCCACGGACACAGGUCGGGCCGCCGGCCUUCUCUCCCGUGGGGCCCUUGGCUCCCCCAGAGAAGGGAAGCGAAUUCAGGGCCUGACAACCGGCCUCCUCCCACCGAGCCCAGUCCCCGCGGGUCCUUCCUGUCCCUGACCCUCCCCCCUCCGCCGCCCCUUCUACCCCCACUUGUUUCCUAUAGCGGCAUUUUUAAAAAGGUGUUUUUUAAUUUAAAAAAACAACAAAACACAACACCUUCCCACCCACCCACCUGUCCGGGACGAGGCGCAGCCGGACGGUGAGUGGGUUUAAUCUUCUACAGCCGCUGAGCUCCCUCAGAAGAGCCAUUCUUCCUCCAAGCGUGACAUUUCCUCACCUGAGUCCGCGGACGUCGUGCCUUCGAGGAGAGACAGGGUCUUUUCAGGAGACAAGCUGCUGUCCCCGAUGGGAUGAGGGACGAGUGCUCACCCUCCCCGCCCCCCAGCUCUCGUGGCAUCACGAGUGUCACGGACCCGGCCCGCCCUCGCGGAGGAGGCCCCGCAGCCCACAUAGCUCUGCUUCAGGCCGGAGCGUCACUUCCGAGGCCCCGUGGCUCGGGUGGCCAUGUCCCCAGCUGCCAGGCCGGUUUGCUUGUUUCCUCACGAGCUGCUCUCACAGAGGGGACACCCAGCCUGGGGGAUGGGGGGGCCACACCGCGCAGAAGACGGCAGCGUGGCCCGGCUCUAGGCACACGCGGUCGCUGGGACACGAGGCGUGAGUUCUGGGGACGUGCGUGGCGUGGAUGGCACAAGGCGGGUGUGGCCGCCUAGCAAGGCCCGGCCUCAGGAGGAGGGCUCCCGCCGCCCCAGGCAGCCCGCCCACCAGGGAGUCCCUGCCCUUCCACACCCUGUCCCUCCCCCAAAGGCUCAGGCCACCAGUUCAUCUCCCACCGGCUUUCCCGCGUGGGCUGCCGACCCAGACCUCAGCGCGGAGGGAACGCGCCUCGCCAGGGGAACCUCGGCCACGGACGGACGAGCAGGAGUCCCCGCGGUGAAGCACCGCUGUCCUCUCGGCUGCACGUGCUCUGUCCCCGCGAGCUGGCGCCUUCCGAGGGCGCCUCUCCCGCUCUCAGGCCGACGCAGGGCCUCCUCGCCUUCGAGCCCCUGCUGCCCAGAGACGGUGUGAAAUGGGUGCGUUUGGAAGUUUGGAAGCUCGGAGCUGUGAGUGGGGAAGGCGGAGAGCUCGCUCCUGGCCGAACCGAGCGGCGGCUUUGGACGGCGGGCCCACGGGACAGACCCUGCUCGGCCGCGGGUCUGGUCUGGUCUGGUCUGACCUUCGAGGCUUGCGCUGCAGACAGUGGUCAAACCGGGAAAGCUGGCUCUCCCUUGGGCGAAGGCAGUUCCCGAGAAGAAUCUAGAUGCCUUCCCGGCCAUCGAUGAGGCCUGUUGUAAUAGACCAAACGCAAAUGUGCUCCAUUUGGAAGGGCUGAGUGGCUGUGGGUGGUGGUAGAAUAAUAACCCUCGUAGCCAAAGGACCUCCUUUCUUCAGGGACAUGUAAUGUGGGUGAGUGACAGCGGUUCCCUUUCGGGGGUCGUUCCCUUUCUGGGGUCGUGGCUGGGAUGACGGCUGGGCUCUGCCGCGCUGGGUCUGUGUCCGUGGAACACGUCACAGUGCUGCUGUGUCCAGAUCAAACCACUGUCGUUUUUUUAAGAGAAAUAAAGUCCUUAAUGA